GCAGCAUUGGAUGCGGCACUGGAUGCAGCACUGGCUGCUGCACCAUCGCACAGCAAUGAAGCUUCCACAGUUCCAAGCGUGAUGACCUUCACGGUAUGAAAUUAAUUCCUGUAUGGAUCUGUAGCCUAUUUCAAUCUCAGUUUGUAAUUGGUUUUCAAUUUCAUUUUGUAAUCGAUUUAGCAAGGAUAGAAAAGGAAAAUUGAAAUUAUAAUUUGGUGUCAGUAGCAUAUCAUAAUUUUAUAGGUUGAAAUGUACUGCUUAAUUAAAAAUGCUGUUGUUUAUUUACCUCUGAAAGUUCAAGUACCAGAUGUUGAAAUAAAUAAUCUAGAAUAUUUGCUCAACAUUAUAGAUCUUGCUCUACAUUGGUAAUCUAGAAUAUUUGUUUCUAUAUUUCACGGUUUUCUGCUUUGGGUUAGCAAACAGACACUGCAUUGUUGUGUAAUCUUAGUUCUCUGCAUUCCAAUUGUUAACUAAAAUAUGUUAUCGUGUUGUAGUUACUCUGUUUAACCACAAGCGCAGGAUCCGGCCCCAUGCUUUCAGGAUUGUGGCCUCAGGUCAGCGUGGACUCAUUUCUUCUGAUGUUCUUUUUGGGCUAUAGAGAUGAAAUGUCAAACUAGCAGUAUCAGUAUAGCACAUAGAAAAAAAUGGUAAUGCUGCUAUUUGAUUGUGCUGUGUAUAUGCAAUUUUGUUGCUUGAUUUAAAUUAAUUAUAAGCCUAAACAAUCAUUUAGAAUUUCAGUUUAGUAAAUAAUUGCAGUGUCCAACUAAUCGACUUGCUGAUGCUACUGACACUUUGUGCCACUAGUGAUAUAAAUUUUACAAACUAGCCAUGCUGAACUGCAGUGCAUGUAGUUCAUAUUUAAAUGUUAAUGGCGUUGGCUUUGCAUCUGUCGGCAGCAGCAACUUAUUUUUGUAACUCUAAAUAUGACAUUAGUUUACCAUCAAUAAAAGUAGCAAUAUAUUUUGUGAGUGCAACCAUUUCAACUGGAUAUGUUUAAAUUGAUAGUUGUACAUAACAUAUUUUAGCUUACGCAGCAGCUAUCUAUUAAGUUAUCUAAAUCACUACUUGAUUGAAUGUUUCUUUUUUAUUGUUUUCAGGAAAUCAGUGGAUAAACAAUAUUGGAGAAAUGCUUGACGAAGGAGCAUCAUUCCACUGAGGCAGCUGCAUUGCUUAUUUGCUUAUUUGCGGCAUGGAGAGACAAUUGUUGGCUGUAUAAAUUAGUCUUGUUUUUAAUUUGCUUCAUCAUCAAUGUGUAAAUAUUUAUAUAUAUAAACAUGUUUGACCAAAUGGUUGUAAAUCUAUAAUCGGAAAUGCAAUAAAGAAAUGUCACCAUAUUUGUC
rnacentral:lncRNA from 1 species